GCGCCCGUAGCUCAAUUGGAUAGAGGUCUGGCUACGGACCAGAAGGUUGUGGGUUCAAGUCCUUCCCGGGCGUAC
rnacentral:tRNA from 1 species